rnacentral:rRNA from 1 species
UACGAAGGGGGCUAGCGUUGUUCGGAAUUACUGGGCGUAAAGCGCACGUAGGCGGGUAUUUAAGUCAGGGGUGAAAUCCUGGAGCUCAACUCCAGAACUGCCUUUGAUACUGAGGAUCUUGAGUACGGGAGAGGUGAGUGGAACUGCGAGUGUAGAGGUGAAAUUCGUAGAUAUUCGCAAGAACACCAGUGGCGAAGGCGGCUCACUGGCCCGUAACUGACGCUGAGGCACGAAAGCGUGGGGAGCAAACAGG